rnacentral:rRNA from 1 species
AGCAGUCGCCGCGGGAAUACGUAGGGUGCGAGCGUUAAUCGGAAUUACUGGGCGUAAAGCGUGCGCAGGCGGUUCGUUAAGACAGAUGUGAAAUCCCCGGGCUUAACCUGGGAACUGCAUUUGUGACUGACGGGCUAGAGUAUGGCAGAGGGGGGUAGAAUUCCACGUGUAGCAGUGAAAUGCGUAGAGAUGUGGAGGAAUACCGAUGGCGAAGGCAGCCCCCUGGGCCAAUACUGACGCUCAUGCACGAAAGCGUGGGGAGCAAACAGGAUUAGAUACCCGCGUAGUCCCUGUCUCUUAUAC